rnacentral:rRNA from 1 species
AAUGAACGCUAGCGGGAUGCCUUACACAUGCAAGUCGAACGGAGUGGCGAACGGGCGCGUAAUGUAUCGGAACGUGCCCAGUCGCGGGGGUAAACUACGAGAAAGUGUAGCAAAUACCGCAUAAUAUUUGAGCGGCCGAUAUCGGAUUAGCUAGUUGGUGGGGUAACGGCUCACCAAGGCGAAGAUCCGUAGCUGGUGUGAGAGGACGUCCAGCCACACUGGGAUGGAGACACGGCCCAGUCUCCUACGGGAGGCAGCGGGGGGGAAUUUUGGACAAUGGGGGAAACCCUGGUCCAGCCAUCCCGCGUGUGCUAUGAAGGCCUUCGGGUUGGAAAGCACUUUUGGCAGGAAAGCGGGACCUGCAGAAUAAGGACCGGCUAACUCCGUGCCAGCAGCCGCGGUAAUUC